CACGAACGCUGGCGGCAGGCUUAACACAUGCAAGUCGAGCGCCCCGCAAGGGGAGCGGCAGACGGGUGAGUAACGCGUGGGAAUCUACCCAUCUCUACGGAAUAACGCAUGGAAACGUGUGCUAAUACCGUAUACGUCCUUCGGGAGAAAGAUUUAUCGGAGAUGGAUGAGCCCGCGUUGGAUUAGCUAGUUGGUGGGGUAAAGGCCUACCAAGGCGACGAUCCAUAGCUGGUCUGAGAGGAUGAUCAGCCACACUGGGACUGAGCACACGGCCCAGACUCCUACGGGAGGCAGCAGUGGGGAAUAUUGGACAAUGGGCGCAAGCCUGAUCCAGCCAUGCCGCGUGAGUGAUGAAGGCCCUAGGGUUGUAAAGCUCUCUCACCGGUGAAGAUAAUGACGGUAACCGGAGAAGAAGCCCCGGCUAACUUCGUGCCAGCCGCCGCGGUAAUAC
rnacentral:rRNA from 1 species